CAACAGGGAUUGCCUCAGUAACGGCGAGUGAAGCGGCAACAGCUCAAAUUUGAAAUCUGGCUCCUUCGGGGCCCGAGUUGUAAUUUGCAGAGGAUGCGUCGGGUACGGGUGCCUUCCGAGUUCCCUGGAACGGGACGCCAUAGAGGGUGAGAGCCCCGUCUGGUAGGACACCCAGCCCGUGUGACGCUCCCUCGACGAGUCGAGUAGUUUGGGAAUGCUGCUCUAACGGGAGGUAUACUCCUUCCAAGGCUAAAUACCGGCUGGAGACCGAUAGCGCACAAGUAGAGUGAUCGAAAGAUGAAAAGCACUUUGAAAAGAGAGUCAAACAGCACGUGAAAUUGUUAAAAGGGAAGCGCUCGCUACCAGACUUGGGUUCGGCGGUUCAACCGGGGCCACGCCCCGGGGCAUUCCGCCGGCCCAGGCCAGCAUCAGCUUUCCGUCGGGGGUAAAGGCGUCGGGAAUGUGGCUCCCCUUCGGGGGAGUGUUAUAGCCCGUCGUGUCAUACCCUUCGGGGGGCUGAGGUACGCGCUUCUGCAAGGAUGCUGGCGUAAUGGUAGCUAGUGACCCGUCUUGAAACACGGACCAAGGAGUCAACCUUAUGUGCGAGUGCCCGGGCGUAAAACCCCAGCGCGGAAUGAAAGUGAACGUAGGUGAGAGCUUCGGCGCAUCACCGACCGAUCCUGAUGUCCUCGGACGGAUUUGAGUGAGAGCAUAUAGGGUUGGACCCGAAAGAAGAUGAACUAUGCGUGUGUAGGGUGAAGCCAGAGGAAACUCUGGUGGAGGCUCGCAGCGGUUCUGACGUGCAAAUCGAUCGUCAAACAUGCGCAUGGGGGCGAAAGACUAAUCGA
rnacentral:rRNA from 1 species